AUUGAACACAACCAUGAGUCAGGCACUGGGCUGGGUGCUUGGGAUACAUCCGUGAGCAACACAAAGUUCCCCACCCCAGAGGAGCUCUUACCUGGCCCAGAAUCUGGAUCUCUGCCCCCAACCCCUAUCCUCAAGGUAGAGUCCCAAAGAUGUCCUAAAUCUCACACAGGCUGAGUUGUGCUUAAUCCACUUCUGCAGACACAGCUCAUGUACAAAUGGGCCAAGCCGAAAAUCUGUAGCGAGGACCUUGAGGGGGCAGUGAAGCUGCCUGCCUCUGGUGUGAAGACCCACUGCCCACCCUGCAACCCAGGCUUCUUCAAAACCAACAACAGCACCUGCCAGCCCUGCCCUUACGGUUCCUACUCCAAUGGCUCAGAUUGUACCCGCUGCCCUGCAGGGACUGAACCUGCUGUGGGAUUUGAAUACAAAUGGUGGAACACGCUGCCCACAAACAUGGAAACAACCGUUCUCAGUGGGAUCAACUUCGAGUACAAGGGCAUGACAGGCUGGGAGGUGGCUGGUGAUCACGUUUACACAGCUGCUGGAGCCUCAGACAAUGACUUCAUGAUUCUCACUCUGGUUGUGCCAGGAUUUAGACCUCCACAGUCGGUGAUGGCAGACACAGAGAAUAAAGAGGUGGCCAGAAUCACAUUUGUCUUUGAGACCCUCUGUUCUAUGAACUGUGAGCUCUACUUCAUGGUGGGUGUGAAUUCUAGGACCAACACUCCCGUGGAGACGUGGAAAGGUUCCAAAGGCAAACAGUCCUAUACCUACAUCAUUGAGGAGAACACUACCACGAGCUUCACCUGGGCCUUCCAGAGGACCACUUUUCAUGAGGCAAGCAGGAAGUACACCAAUGACGUUGCCAAGAUCUACUCCAUCAAUGUCACCAAUGUUAUGAAUGGCGUGGCCUCCUACUGCCGUCCCUGUGCCCUAGAAGCCUCUGAUGUGGGCUCCUCCUGCACCUCUUGUCCUGCUGGUUACUAUAUUGACCGAGAUUCAGGAACCUGCCACUCCUGCCCCACUAACACAAUUCUGAAAGCCCACCAGCCUUAUGGUGUCCAGGCCUGUGUGCCCUGUGGUCCAGGGACUAAGAACAACAAGAUCCACUCUCUGUGCUACAACGAUUGCACCUUCUCACGCAACACUCCGACCAGGACUUUCAACUACAACUUCUCCGCUUUGGCAAACACUGUCACUCUUGCUGGAGGGCCAAGCUUCACUUCCAAAGGGCUGAAAUACUUCCAUCACUUUACCCUCAGUCUCUGUGGAAACCAGGGUAGGAAAAUGUCUGUGUGCACCGACAAUGUCACUGACCUCCGGAUUCCUGAGGGUGAGUCAGGGUUCUCCAAAUCUAUCACAGCCUACGUCUGCCAGGCAGUCAUCAUCCCCCCAGAGAUGACAGGCUACAAGGCCGGGGUUUCCUCACAGCCUGUCAGCCUUGCUGAUCGACUUAUUGGGGUGACAACAGAUAUGACUCUGGAUGGAAUCACCUCCCCAGCUGAACUUUUCCACCCGGAGUCCUUGGGAAUACCGGACGUGAUCUUCUUUUAUAGGUCCAAUGAUGUGACCCAGUCCUGCAGUUCUGGGAGAUCAACCACCAUCCGCAUCAGGUGCAGUCCACAGAAAACUGUCCCUGGAAGUUUGCUGCUGCCAGGAACGUGCUCGGAUGGAACCUGUGAUGGCUGCAACUUCCACUUCCUGUGGGAGAGCGCGGCUGCUUGCCCGCUCUGCUCAGUGGCUGACUACCACGCUAUCGUCAGCAGCUGUGUGGCUGGGAUCCAGGUGGGUUUCCCUCUGAUCGGGCACUCCCAUGAGAGAAGGGAAUGGGAGAUCUGAGUUCCUUGUUUUUCUCCCCAACAGAAGACUACUUACGUGUGGCGAGAACCCAAGCUAUGCUCUGGUGGCAUUUCUCUGCCUGAGCAGAGAGUCACCAUCUGCAAAACCAUAGAUUUCUGGCUGAAAGUGGGCAUCUCUGCAGGCACCUGUACUGCCAUCCUGCUCACCGUCUUGACCUGCUACUUUUGGAAAAAGAAUCAAAAACUAGAGUACAAGUACUCCAAGCUGGUAAUGAAUGCUACUCUCAAGGACUGUGACCUGCCAGCAGCUGACAGCUGCGCCAUCAUGGAAGGCGAGGAUGUAGAGGACGACCUCAUCUUUACCAGCAAGAAGUCACUCUUUGGGAAGAUCAAAUCAUUUACCUCCAAGAGGACUCCUGAUGGAUUUGACUCAGUGCCGCUGAAGACAUCCUCAGGAGGCCCAGACAUGGACCUGUGAGAGGCACUGCCUGCCUCACCUGCCUCCUCACCUCGCAUAGCACCUUUGCAAGCCUGCGGCGAUUUGGGUGCCAGCAUCCUGCAACACCCACUGCUGGAAACCUCUUCAUUGUGGCCUUAUCAGAUGUUUGAAUUUCAGAUCUUUUUUUUAUAGAGUACCCAAACCCUCCUUUCUGCUUGCCUCAAACCUGCCAAAUAUACCCACACUUUGUUUGUAAAUUAUGCCCUUGCUUGUAUCUUGUUUCCCAAAAUGGCCCAUCCGCCAGAGCCAUAGCUUCGUCUGCUCAUAAUUCUCAUAGCUUUGGAAUGAAAAUAUUUCUAUCUUCUUAAGUAUAGAAACUAUUUCCUCUGUCCUCUAACUUAAGGGCAGAAACAGCUGGGAGUUUUCCUCGCAUGCCCUCAGCUCAUGAUCUCUUUAGGAGAGAGGCUGGGUGAGGAGGGUGUCGGGGUUCCCUGGUGGAUAAUCUUCAUAGCAGCCUGGAUCCAUUUGCCCUGGAUAACCAGCUCAAAGGGAGUGAAAAUGGUAGUCUGAGGGCAAGGGGAAUAAGGCCUGGGUAAGAAAAGGCUUGAAAAGCACAUAAAGAGGCCGGGCGCGGUGGCUCACGCCUGUAAUCCCAGCACUUUGGGAGGCCGAGGUGGGCGGAUCAGGAGGUCAGGAGAUCAAGACCAUCCUGGCUAACAUGGUGAAACCUCGUCUCUACUAAAAAUACAAAAACUUAGCUGGGUGUGGCGGCGGGUGCCUGUAGUCCCAGCUACUCAGGAGGCUGUGGCAGGAGAAUGGUGUGAACCCGGAAGGCGGAGCCUGCAGUGAGCCGAGAUCAUGCCACUGCACUCCAUCCAGCCUGGGCAACAGAACGAGACUCUGUCUCAAAAAAAAAAAGAAAAGCACAAAGAGAGGCAACAAGUAAUGUUUUUUUUUGAGACAGGGUCUCGCUCUGUCACCUAGGGUGGAGUGCAGUGGCAUAAUCACUGUUCACUGCAGCCUCAAGCUCUUGGGCUCAAGCUAUCCUCCCACCUCAACCUCUCAAGUAGCUAGGACUACAAGUGUGCACUACCAGGCUCACUAAUUUUUAUAUUUUUUGUAGAGACAGGGUUUCACCAUGUUGCCCAGACUGGUCUCCAACUCCUGGGCUCAAGUGAUCUGUCCGCCUCAGCCUCCCAAAGUGCUGAGAUUACAGGCAUAAGCCACUGCACUCAGCCUUUUAUUUGUUUUUUAAACCACGUAGCUCAUUGCCUUCUCUUAAGUAAAUGAUAGAUAUUCUCACUGAAGCCAAAGGAAUAAGUUCAUCAAGAAAAUGCCCAAAGCCCUGGUGGAUACAUCCUCCCUAUUUUUUUUUUAAACCUCCCACUAUCACUCUAUGACACUGAAAAGAACCAGGUAAGCCCCAAACCCAGAUGUUCCAGCCUUAUCCUCUAUUGGGUUUACCCACAGAGAUGGCAAACCCUGUCAGUGAGGAAAAUUCCCCAUCCUUGAGUGCCCCCGUCCUAGAAGUUUGGGCCAUAUUAUGGAACAGGGGUCUCUUAUUUGAAAAGAGCACAGGGAGGCCAAGAUUUUAAUGGGGCACUUUAGGGGAUCCAGCCCACAAUGGCAUGGGCCUGAGGUGGCAGUGAUGUGUGCUUCUAAGCUUAACCCAUCUGCUCAGGCACAGAAUAAAUGUCUAGGCUGGCCAAAAAAUGAACUGAAUCCCAGGCCCAUACGCCAGCACCAGAAUCAAACCAGUCUUCAAGGAAGGAAGGCUAGGAGAGUUUAACAAGAUUUUCACUGGGCCCAGCAUGGUGGCUCACACCUGUAAUCCCAAGGCAGAGUGGUCACUUGAGCUCAGGAGUUCAAGACCAGCCUGGGCAACAUAGUGAGACCGUGUCUCUAAAAAAUUAAAAAAUAAACAAGGUGUUCACCAAGCUGGGAUACUUCUCACUUUUAAGCCCCUAUCUUUCUCUUUUUUUCAUUCUCAAUUGCUUUGUGUGAUAAAAAACUAAAGAGACUUCUGGUCCAAUUUCUGGCAACAUCCCUUCUGAAAGGUGAGUAGAGUGGGUGUCUUCUAUGCCCGUUUUCCCCAAUUUUACACAAACUAUUAUCAAUGAACUUUUAAGUACCUAGAAUGGGUAAAACCAGAGCAAGACUUUAAAUUACCUUCUUCUUUCUUCUACUGGCAGUUCUGCCUCCAUCACUAUCAGGCUAGGGUGACCUUCCCUUGGUCAAGCCCCAAUUGCCCAUGAUUUGUGCCUGUGACCUUUCUCCAGUGACCAUUUGGUGACCAGAUGGUGGAUACAAAAAGGGGAUGGCAUUUGCAAGUGACUAGUCUGCCACAAAAUGCUCAUCUGGUUAGCCACUGCUGCCCUGGCGAUGGCUUUGUAAGAGUCAAUGAGAACUAGAGCCAUGCUGUGGUCCCUGGCCAUCAACAGUGUUGGUGAUGGCAGGGAGUCCCUUUGGUUUAAUAAAUCCAGUUUUUCUUCGGGUAUCCAAAUUCUCCCUCCUUUUGUAGGAGUCAGGCUCUCAGAACCUGUGUCCAUGUUGGAACUUCCCCCAGUGUGGAUGCAGAUACGCAGCUCCCGAGCUCCAGCCUAAAGUUUUCUGUAGCCUCAGCAAUACUCAGGCACCUGCCGUCUCACUGAAUAGCUUUCUUUGUGACAAAGGCCACAGACAGCCCUUAGUCUAUUCCGGAAACAGUAGGAAAAAUUACAUAUGUCUUUGAUUUCUUUAUUCUGACUCCACUGAUUUUAGCCAUAAUACUUUAAGGAGCUACUUUUUACUACCCCUUACCAUGCUGACUUCUGCAGGUCUGCCCUGUGACCUGUCAGGAACUCCUGAGUUACGCUACUGGGGUCACCUGUUGCUCCCCUAGCAAGUUAGACAUGUCAUAUAUUUUUAACAGCUUUAUUGAGAUAUAAUUCACAUAUUAUACAAUUAACCUUUAAAACAUACGAUUCAAUGGCUUUUAGCAUACUCACAGAGUUGUCCGCCCAGUUGAGAGCAAACACAUGUUCAAUUUUCUUUUCCUUUUUUUUUUUUUUGAGACAGAGUCAGCUUUGUCGCCCAGGCUGGAGUGCAGUGCCAUGAUCUUGGCUCACUGCAGCCUCUCCCUGGGUUCAAGUGAUCCUUCUGCUUCAGCCUCCCCAGUAGCUGGGAUUACAAGCAUGCGCCACCAUGCCUAGCUAAUUUUUGUGUUUUUAGUAGAGAUGGGGUUUCACCACGUUGGCCAGGCUGGUCUCGAACUCCUGGGCUCAAGUGAUCCACCCACCUCGGCCUCCCAAAGUGCUGGGAUUACAGGUGUGAGCCACCGUGCCCGGCCUACAUGUUCAAUUUUCUAUGAACAAAGGCUUUAGUCCUUGACCCAGGGCUAAAGUGGUCUGUCCAAGCUGUUGUUGAUGAGGGAGUAUGAUAAAAUGUUAAAAUCUCAUUUGGUUACCUUGAGUCCUGGAACACGCAGUAACUGUCAUCCUAUAGUCAUCACCUGUAUUUGGCUGGGAAUACAAAUGAAGAUUGUAUUGUAUUCAAGCAGUAGGGUUUUUGUUUUUGUUUUUGGUUUUAGUGCCAACAAAACUUUUUUUUGUCUGACUACAUUAAAGAUAAGACUGACUAUAUUUAUACAACAGAAACUUUGUAAUAGAUUUUUUCAGCUUUGUGAAAUCGAAUUUUUGUCUCAUCAGGACUGGUUGGAUUUCCUUUUUACCCUGUAAUCCAAGCGUUAAUAGUUUGUUAGAAGACGGGUAUUGCAUGUCACUUUUUUUUUUUUUUUUUGGUAAAAUAAAAACAUACCUUACCA
rnacentral:sRNA from 1 species